rnacentral:rRNA from 1 species
GAUAGGCUGCAGGUGUAAAGGCGGAGACGCCAAAGCCGAGCAGUACUAAUCGUCCGAUAGGCUUACCG